rnacentral:lncRNA from 13 species
UUGGGCAUCGGAUGGCCUUUAUCUCUUCUCCCCUAAUCUUAUCCGACACCCACCUCUUCUGCAGACCCCAGUUCCCUCCCCAUAGGGUGGCCCUGGGUCCCUCAGGAUCCUUGGGAUGAGACGUCUCCAAACAUGAGCCCUUUUCAGCCGGCGUCUGAGGGUGAUAGUGCGCUGCACACAGCAUCUGUCCGCACUGGCCUCCCAACCAGGAGGGGCCAAGGGGGAAAGGAGUGAGACAAUCAGCAGCACCCCAGGAACAAGCCCUGGAGAGGUGCCAGUUCCUGCCCAGAUGCGGACAAAAGCCUCAGAAGCCCUGUUUGUGUAGGCUGAAGAGCCAAGACAGCAAAUGCCACACAUCCGGGAGCCGUCCCCCAGGAAGAGCCCCACUACCAGCUCCUUCCUGUCCCCAUGGUGUCCCCUCACUCCUUCCUUCUGGAUGGGGGCCCAGAGGGCACAGGAGGGUAUAAAGGCGACCUGGAGGGCGCCGGGCACAAGCAGACGCCAGCGAAGACUCUCCCCGCCAGAUCCCUGGGAUGCGCCAGCCAGAGGCCAUGCUGCUGCUGCUCACCCUCGCCCUCCUGGUGGGCCCCACCUGGGCAGGGAGUAAGUCGGCGGGGUCUGUGCCCGAUCUCCCCUCCCUCCCUCCAGAAUAACUGGUCACAGAACCACCCUGUCUGGCUAGAGGGGUGGGUCCCCUGUUCUGGCAGAGGUCGCCCCCAUAUCAUGGCGUGGGGAUUUCCCCCCUGCUUGGUUUUCUCUUCCCUGCAGAGAUGUAUGGCCCUGGAGGAGGGAAAUAUUUCAGCACCACGGAAGACUAUGACCAUGAAAUCACAGGACUGCGGGUAUCUUUGGCUCUUUUGGUGAAAAGGUGAGUAGGGCCGUGGUCAUGGGCCCCACGUCAUGUCCCAACCCCUCCCACAGUUUCAGGAACUCAGGGCAGGGGUGGGCGCCUGUAGGCACUUUUCCCACUUCCUGCCCGGCUCCUGCCAAUGCUUCCUGCCUUGAGCAGAGAAGGUCAGAUGACUGUCCCCCCACCUUCUCCGUUCAACCCAAACUCAACUCAACCAAAAAUGGCCCCUCCAUCCCCAUGCCUGAUAGGAAGGUCAGGGGAAAGUCUGUCCACUUACUGUCAGAGACAGGAGGUGAGGGUCAGAGUGGACCACCGACUGAACAUGAGUCACAGAAGUGUUAGAGGCAGAAAUCC